AGUGAACGCUGGCGGUAGGCCUAACACAUGCAAGUCGAACGGCAGCACAGUAAGAGCUGGCUCUUACGGGUGGCGAGUGGCGGACGGGUGGGGAAUACAUCGGAAUCUACUUUUUCGUGGGGGAUAACGUAGGGAAACUUACGCGAAUACCGCAUACGACCUACGGGUGAAAGCAGGGGAUCUUCGUACCUUGCGCGAUUGAAUGAGCCGAUGUCGGAUUAGCUAGUUGGCGGGGUAAAGGCCCACCAAGGCGACGAUCCGUAGCUGGUCUGAGAGGAUGAUCAGCCACACUGGAACUGAGACACGGUCCAGACUCCUACGGGAGGCAGCAGUGGGGAAUAUUGGACAAUGGGCGCAAGCAUGAUCCAGCCAUACCGCGUGGGUGAAGAAGGCCUUCGGGUUGUAAAGCCCUUUUGUUGGGAAAGAAAAGCAGCAGGUUAAUACCCCGCUGUUCUGACGGUACCCAAAGAAUAAGCACCGGCUAACUUCGUG
rnacentral:rRNA from 1 species